rnacentral:lncRNA from 1 species
UCUUUCUUCUUCAUCUUCAUAUGCGGAAGGGGAUUUUGCUAACCUAAAUUAUACAUUUUUGUUCGUGUUCUUCUUGUAACGGCACAAUUGUUUAUUGGAUUGCGGCGUCACUAUCAGCUGAGAUCGCGCAAAGCGUUGAGAACAUUUAUUCGUAAGCCUCAAAACCUCAAUCAAAAUUCGUAAGCCUCUGAUUCGAGUAAAAGGUGAAAAUACCCUUUUGAAUCAUUUUUAGAACUUAAGAGAAUGAAAGAGAUUCAACAACAACGGCAUCAUAAGCUUCUGAUUCUAUACGCAACUCAAACUGGUAACGCAUUGGAUGCUGCUGAAACUCUUGCUCGUUAAGCCGAACGUAGAGCUUGCCCCAUCAAUCUCCUUUCUCUUCAUCAAUAUGAUCUUGUACGAUUUCUUUACUUUUUUCCAUAUUGGGUUUUGUUCAAAAUCAUUUUUUGAUAUUAAAGUUUGAAUUUUUUGAUAAUGGGUUGCAUUGUUAUGAUUGCAGAAUCUGUUGUCACAGGAAGAAGAUGUGGUUUCUCACAUUGAGUUUGUGCUGCAACCUUAAAUAGCAAUUUUCUCAAUUCACAUGUUGUAAUUUUACUUGAUAAUUGAAGAUGCAAUCGAGCAAGCAGUGAUGGGCGACAAUGGGGAAGAUGAAGUGGUCGUAUCCAAUUUUAAUUCUGAAGUGAAGACAAUGGGGAAGAUGGAAGUGUCUCGUAUCCAA